rnacentral:rRNA from 1 species
UGGGGGAUAUUGCGCAAUGGGGGAAACCCUGACGCAGCAACGCCGCGUGAAGGAAGAAGGUCUUAGGAUUGUAAACUUUUGUCUUUUGGGAAGAAUAAUGACGGUACCAAAGGAGGAAGCCACGGCUAACUACGUGCCAGCAGCCGCGGUAAUACGUAGGUGGCAAGCGUUGUCCGGAAUUACUGGGUGUAAAGGGCGUGUAGGCGGGCAAUCAAGUCAGAUGUGAAAUACCGAGGCUUAACUUCGGGGCUGCAUUUGAAACUGAUUGUCUUGAGUGCAGGAGAGGAAAGCGGAAUUCCUAGUGUAGCGGUGAAAUGCGUAGAUAUUAGGAGGAACACCAGUGGCGAAGGCGGCUUUCUGGACUGUAACUGACGCUGAGGCGCGAAAGCGUGGGGAGCAAACA